rnacentral:rRNA from 1 species
UACGUAGGGAGCAAGCGUUGUCCGGAAUCAUUGGGCGUAAAGCGCGCGUAGGUGGCCUCAUAAGUCCGCUGUGAAAGUCAAGGGCUCAACCCUUGAAUGCCGGUUGAUACUGUCGGGCUAGAGUCCGGAAGAGGCGAGUGGAAUUCCCGGUGUAGCGGUGAAAUGCGCAGAUAUCGGGAGGAACACCAAUGGCGAAGGCAGCUCGCUGGGACGGUACUGACGCUGAGGCGCGAAAGCGUGGGGAGCGAACAGG